UACGUAGGGUGCGAGCGUUAAUCGGAAUUACUGGGCGUAAAGUGUGCGCAGGCGGCCGAGCAAGUCGAGUGUGAAAGCCCCGAGCUUGACUUGGGAACUGCGCUCGAAACUACUUGGCUAGAGUGUGGCAGAGGGAGGUGGAAUUCCACGUGUAGCGGUGAAAUGCGUAGAGAUGUGGAGGAACACCGAUGGCGAAGGCAGCUUCCUGGGCCAACACUGACGCUCAUGCACGAAAGCGUGGGGAGCAAACAGG
rnacentral:rRNA from 1 species